rnacentral:rRNA from 1 species
CGGCCAGACUCCUACGGGAGGCAGCAGUGGGGGAUAUUGCACAAUGGGGGGAACCCUGAUGCAGCGACGCCGCGUGGGUGAAGGAGUAUUUCGGUAUGUAAAGCCCUAUCGGCAGGGAAGAAGCAAGACGGUACCUGACUAAGAAGCCCCGGCUAACUACGUGCCAGCAGCCGCGGUAAUACGUAGGGGGCGAGCGUUAUCCGGAUUCACUGGGUGUAAAGGGAGCGUAGACGGCCAAGCAAGCCAGGGGUGAAAGCCCGGGGCCCAACCCCGGGACUGCCCUUGGAACUGCUUGGCUGGAGUGCGGGAGGGGCAGGCGGAAUUCCUAGUGUAGCGGUGAAGUGCGUAGAUAUUAGGAGGAACACCGGCGGCGAAGGCGGCCUGCUGGACCGUAACUGACGUUGAGGCUCGAAAGCGUGGGGAGCAAACAGGAUUAGAUACCCUAGUA